AUGGACGGCGCUGCAGCGGCGGGGCGGGCGGAGGGCGUCCCAGAAAACCGAGGAGUUCAGUCGGCGGCAGGUCGGGGAGGACGCCUGGUGGAGCUCACCGCGACCCCCGGCGGCCUGGCCCUCGUGAGCCCCUACCACACCCGCCGGGCCGGCGACCCCCUAGACCUCGUGGCGCUCGCAGAGCAGGUGCAGAAGGCUGAUGAAUUCAUCCGAGCAAAUGCCACCAACAAGCUGACAGUCAUAGCCGAGCAAAUCCAGCAUUUGCAAGAACAAGCCAGGAAGGUUUUGGAAGAUGCUCACAGAGAUGCUGACUUGCACCAUGUAGCUUGUAAUAUGGUGAAAAAACCUGGCAACAUUUACUACCUUUAUAAACGGGAGAGUGGUCAGCAGUAUUUUUCCAUUAUUUCUCCAAAGGAAUGGGGGACAAGUUGUCCACAUGACUUCCUUGGUGCCUACAAGCUACAGCAUGACUUGUCCUGGACUCCAUAUGAGGACAUUGAGAAGCAGGAUGCUAAAAUCAGCAUAAUGGACACGUUGCUAAGCCAGCCAGUGGCCCUGCCUCCAAGCACUGAACUCAACUUCCAGGGACUGACUCACUGAGAGUAGACUCUGACAAACAGCUCUCGAUGGCAAGGACCUGUCACCUGGUUGUCCCCAUUCUCUGCCUUGAUGGGAGGUGGCAUGAGAAUUGAGGACAUGUAGGUGAAUCAUGAACUUCUUGGAAGGAGACCCUGUGUGAAUGUAAAUGCUGUCAUUAUUAUUACUUUUAGUUGGGCUGGUAAUGAAUCACAUCACUCUAUUUUGGGAUCCUCUCUGGGUCACAGCUGGCCAGUGUACUUUCCUUCUCCUUUAUCUCCAUCUAUUCUCCCCAUAAGUCAGAGCAGUAGAGAAAGAAGAGUUUCUUCUUCCCACAAAAAGGUUGGCGAGUCAUUUUCCAGAGAGGACUGUUUUUAGUCUUUUUGUAAUUGGAAGUGUUUAAGAUUGGAGUUGAGGCUAUUUAAUAGUGCGACUCCAGCUUCAAAUUCAUCUGGGAACAAGAAUGUUGGAUAAUGGAGGAUGAUAAACAGCUAGGCUUGGCUGGA